GCGCGGCGAAUUCUGUUUUACUCUUGAAGUAGUAAAUGCAGUCAGACACCGUGCAAAAUUAUUGUUUUCACACACUGACUCCAGGAUCAGAGUGCUAAUGCCGUGCCUCAUUCUUACGUCAGAGUGAAUACAGAA